rnacentral:lncRNA from 1 species
UCAUCUUUAUCUCUAUAUAACUGUUGUUCAAAACAAAAAAAAAAAUCAAAGAAAAACACGAGAACAAAGAAAAAGAGCGAUCAACAAAAUUGUUCUCAACCAUAUCCAGUAGCCGUUUCACCACAUACAUAACUACCUACCACUCUUUACAACCUUCAUCAUCUAUACCCUGAUGUUACCAAUUAGAGGCACAUUACCACAACACAACCCAUACCUAAGGCCACACAUACCAACACAACCACAGAAAAAAUAUACAAAAAACACAAACAGAAAUCAAUCUUCAACGACACAACCAAAAGCCUCCGUACUACUACCACAAACCCAGAAGCAAAUACAAGUAAUCCAAAGCCAUAGUCUUGCAAACAAUUUCAUAAUCACCUAGCAAGCCAGCAAUACAUGGACAUUGAGCCCAGAAAACUCAAAACCAAUACCAUUAACCAAAAUCCUCAAUCAGGUCCCAAAACAAAGAAACAUCCAACAACCCAUUCAUUGUCAUAAUCGAGACCGAUCAAGCUGCUCCCAGACCGAUCCUUUUCACCAUAAAUUUCCCUCCAAAGUCCACUGUCAAUAAGCCAUAAAGAGGAGGCAAAAGUCAGAAAUGAGAAAAACACCAAAAAAGAAAAAGAGUUUUUUUAGGUUUUGAUUUAACCCACUUCCAAGAGGCUUCAAUUCACCAUAUAAAUUGGGGAAAUAGCCCAUAGCAAGGAAAAUGACAUACCUUUGGCAACGGUGACAUUAGUGACAGUCUAUGGUGGAGACUGUUGUUUAGAAAUCAAAAGGGUAGAGGGAGAAAAUGAAGGAUAGAGAAUAACAUAUCCAAAAAUCAGCCUAAUCAAACGUAGGAAAGACACUGAAACAGUAAAGAAAAACGUGGCUUGUAGCUUUAGAUCUAGGGCAUUUGAGUAGGAUUCUAAAAAAUAGAAGCCCAGAUCCUAGAUGAGGAAGCCAAAAGGAAGUGAAGAUGAAAUUUGGGCUUCAACAGUGGUCGCCCGAUGGCAGAGCAUGGCAACCAACGUUGGUGCAGAAACCAGUAACAAUGACCAGGAAUCCUAGAGAGAAAAGUUCUCUAGAGAAACUUUAAAGAGAGAA